rnacentral:rRNA from 1 species
UCAAAAACUUAGUCUCAGUUCGGAUUGUAGGCUGAAACUCGCCUACAUGAAGCUGGAGUUGCUAGUAAUCGCGAAUCAGCAUGUCGCGGUGAAUACGUUCCCGGGCCUUGUACACACCGCCCGUCACACCAUGAGAGUUGGCAAUACCCAACGUACGUGAUCUAACCCGCAAGGGAGGAAGCGUCCUAAGGUAGGGUCAGCGAUUGGGGUGAAGUCGUAACAAGGUAGC